CAUAAGUAACCUGCCCUCAUGAGGGGGAUAACUAUUAGAAAUGAUAGCUAAGACCGCAUAGGUGAAGGGGUCGCAUGACCGCUUCAUUAAAUAUCCGUAUGGAUAGCAGGAGGAUGGACUUAUGGCGCAUUAGCUGGUUGGUGAGGUAACGGCUCACCAAGGCGACGAUGCGUAGCCGACCUGAGAGGGUGGACGGCCACACUGGGACUGAGACACGGCCCAGACUCCUACGGGAGGCAGCAUG
rnacentral:rRNA from 1 species